AGCCCACUAAAAUGGCAUAGUCUUAAUAAAUCUUUAUAACACUCACAUACGUCAAACAAGGACUCCCCAUCUUUUUGCCUAAAAUUAUUAAUAUCAUUCCUAACUUU